UGGCAGAUAGGUGGGAGCAGCGACCUUGUGUUGUCAUAAAACAAGCAGAUCCUGAUUUGCCGGUGUAUGUGAUUAGACAAGAAGGGGGAAAUGUUGAGAAAGUAAUGCAUCGUAACUUACUGAGACCUUGUUUGUUACCUAUGCAACAAGAUAUGCAGAACUCUAGGAAUGAGGUAGAGAAAGCCAGGCAGGAAAAUUUAAAAACUGGAAAUGCAUUGCCACACACUGGUAGAUCUUCAGCUGCCCCACCCUGGGUUGGGUUUUGGCUUCCUGCAGAAAUCCCUCUCGAGGCUGGCCCAAAAGGCAUCGAGACAGGACCCAUUCAUCAAGGACCCAGACGGUCAACAAGAACAACCAGGACUGCCUCCAGAGAUUUGGAGAUUAAUAUUUAUAGAUUACAUGGUCAUUGGGACAAUGACCAUUUCAGCAGGGAGGGGUGUAACAUGGUAGACUAAUGUGCCUGUGUUGAUUCAGCUCCAUAUUAUUGUGUGAAGUUGCACUGGGUUGGGAGUGGUUGUGUGUGUGUGUGUGUGUGUGUGUGUGUGUGUGUCACAUUUUUGGUGAGCCAAUGGCUGGAAUGGGGUUGGACUAAUUAGAGGCAGGUGUACUUGAUUGCACUGAUACACUGGUCUACUUAUAGCCCACACUACAAACACUGCUGUGUCAUUUUGUCUCUCUGUGCAGGCCAGGGCCUAUUAUAUGCCACAGCCUAAAGGCAGCAGAGUUGCAGAGGCUGGAGUGACCACUGGCUAUAUGCUUACAGGGUGGUGGGUCUCAGACGACAACUUCUAACCCUGUUAAAGGCAACACGUGGAGUGCAACUGGUCGUGUGGCAUAGCUGGCUCUGGCCUUGGGACUGUGUGUUUUUUAUUUGAUUCAUAAAUGGGACACUGGACUGUUUUAUAUUUUAUCUCUUGAUUAUUUGUCAAUAAAUUAUCUUUUAGAAUUUUA